GACGAACGCUGGCGGCGUGCCUAGCACAUGCAAGUCGAACGGAACUGUUUUGAAAGAUUUCUUCGGAAUGAAUUUGAUUUAGUUUAGUGGCGGACGGGUGAGUAACGCGUGAGUAACCUGCCUUCAAGAGGGGGAUAACAUUCUGAAAAGAAUGCUAAUACCGCAUGAUAUAUCGGAACCACAUGGUUUUGAUAUCAAAGAUUUUAUCGCUUGAAGAUGGACUCGCGUCCGAUUAGUUAGUUGGUGAGGUAACGGCUCACCAAGACCGCGAUCGGUAGCCGGACUGAGAGGUUGAACGGCCACAUUGGGACUGAGACACGGCCCAGACUCCUACGGGAGGCAGCAGUGGGGGAUAUUGCGCAAUGGGGGCAACCCUGACGCAGCAACGCCGCGUGAAGGAUGAAGGUUUUCGGAUUGUAAACUUCUUUUAUUAAGGACGAAAAAUGACGGUACUUAAUGAAUAAGCUCCGGCUA
rnacentral:rRNA from 1 species